AUCGAACGCUGGCGGCAGGCUUAACACAUGCAAGUCGAGCGAGCGGCGGACGGGUGAGUAAUGUCUGGGAAACUGCCUGUUGGAGGGGGAUAACCACUGGAAACGGUAGCCAAUAACGCAUACCAUCAUAUUUGCCCAGAGGGGAUUAGCUAGUAGGUGGGGUAAUGGCUCACCUAGGCGACGAUCCCUAGCGGGUCUGAGAGGAUGACCAGCCACACUGGAACUGAGACACGGUCCAGACUCCUACGGGAGGAAGCAGUGGGGAAUAUUGCACAAGGGGCGCAAGCCUGAUGGAGCCAUGCCGCGUGUGUGAAGAAGGCCUUCGGGUUGUAAAGCACUUUCAGCGAGGAGGCGUUACUCGCAGAAGAAGCACCGGCUAACUCCGUGCCAGCCGCCGCGGUAAUUC
rnacentral:rRNA from 1 species